AAUAAAGUGCCUGACUAAAGGAUUAUUUUGAUAGAAUAAAUUAAGUAAUUUAUAUUACCUUUAUUA
rnacentral:tRNA from 1 species